AUUGAACGCUGGCGGCAUGCUUUACACAUGCAAGUCGAACGGCAGCGCGGGCUUCGGCCUGGCGGCGAGUGGCGAACGGGUGAGUAAUACAUCGGAACGUGCCCAGUAGUGGGGGAUAGCUCGGCGAAAGCCGGAUUAAUACCGCAUACGACCUGAGGGUGGAAGCGGGGGAUCUUCGGACCUCGCGCUAUUGGAGCGGCCGAUGGCAGAUUAGCUAGUUGGUGGGGUAAAGGCCUACCAAGGCGACGAUCUGUAGCUGGUCUGAGAGGACGACCAGCCACACUGGGACUGAGACACGGCCCAGACUCCUACGGGAGGCAGCAGUGGGGAAUUUUGGACAAUGGGCGAAAGCCUGAUCCAGCAAUGCCGCGUGUGUGAUGAAGGCCUUCGGGUUGUAAAGCACUUUUGGCGGGAACGAAAAGGACUGUGCCAAUACCACGGUUCGAUGACGGUACCCGCAGAAUAAGCACCGGCUAACUACGUGC
rnacentral:rRNA from 1 species